rnacentral:rRNA from 1 species
UACGUAGGGUGCGAGCGUUGUCCGGAAUUAUUGGGCGUAAAGAGCUCGUAGGCGGUCUGUCGCGUCUGCUGUGAAACUCAGGGCUUAACCCUGAGCUUGCAGUGGGUACGGGCAGACUAGAGUGCGGUAGGGGAGACUGGAAUUCCUGGUGUAGCGGUGAAAUGCGCAGAUAUCAGGAGGAACACCGGUGGCGAAGGCGGCGACCUGGACAGUGACUGACACUCAACUACGAAAGCGUGGGGAGCAAACAGG